CAGCAAAGCAAAAGGUUGCAUUUUAAGAAAGCACCACUUUAGUUUUGCUCUUCACUUCUUGUCAUCUCUAAGGACGACAUAAUUGUGGCCAUUAGUCUUCUGAAUCUUCGAUAUUUUCUUCAGAAUUUCAGCAAAAGCAUUCUUGUCCUCUGGACCUCGUAGUCUAGACUUAAAUCUAGAUACCAAAUCUUGUGUAGUGACAGGAGCAACAGCAAGAAGAACAGUCCUGAUUUCAUCCUCUGUGACAGGAGAUACAUUUGCACUAGUUUUUGAUGCAGCAGUGGCCUUCGAUGCAGGUUUUGAGGAAGAUGGUGUCUCAUCUUUGGCCACUGAUGGUUUUAACUUACAGAUUCCACCUUUGCUUUUUUGGAAGCUGCACCGCCAGAUGCUUUUGAAUCAUCACCACCACCUGAUUUCCUCUUUUGCUUCGAUUUGGAUGCAGGAGGUGUGCCACGAGCAUGUCCUGAUGGUGUUGGUUUAGCGGGGCUGUUAUCUACAGGUUCAUCUUUGGGUUGAUCCUUCUGUUUUGGAGCAAGCACUGGAGAUGACUCAUCCUCCUGGUCAUCAUCUUCGUCAUCCUCAUCGGCAUCUGACUCAUUAAGUCCAGCAGCUUUCCCAAGAAGCUUUUUCAACUCCUUGCCAGACUUGCUCAGACCACCCUCUUCUUCAUUCUCUUCAUCAUCCUAAAAGAAUCCAUUGAGGAGCGGGAAUCUCAGGAGCUAAAUCUGCCCGCUCC
rnacentral:sRNA from 1 species